AGACAUUUAGCCCUGAUUUGAAGUGAGUGUCCAUCAUUUCAGUUCUUUUAAAACUCAUUCAAAAUAACACUGGCCACUGCAGAUGCUGUUUUAGUGUCGCAGACAUGAUGAAGCUACUGGCUGUCAUAAGACUACAUGACCUGGGUUUCAGAGCUGGAAACUGGAGCAAAAUUUGUCACGCAGGAGCUCUGAGGGAAACUUGAGUUUCAGAGCCCAUUGGAGCACCAAAACUGUAGGGACCGUGUCUGUGUCCUUGAUAGGCAAAGUUCCCACCAGAGGAAUGGGCAGAACAGAGACAUUGCCAGUUCUUGGUGGAGAAAAAUGCAACACAAAAAACCAAAAGAGGUUCUCCAUGGUGGGUGCCUGCCACCUCAGCCAAGGGACCAUGAAGCAGCAUGACCUUUCUUUCCAAUCUCCUGAUGGGCUGGGAGGGCAGGAGGGAGGACAUGCAUCUGGAUAAAGAUUGUGUUACUGUCCAGAGCCUCCUUGUCCUGGGAAGGACGAGACUUAAUUUUCAGGCUGUGCUGGACUGAUUGAGAAAGCUCACCUCCCAGGACUGGGCCCAAGUGUGUAUUUAUGUAUGACCAUGUCUUGAUGGCGCCUGGACUGAGGAGAAGAGAGCAGGGUUUCCUCCUGCAGAUCACGACCAGACAUACAAAUGUUAUUUCUUGUGAGGGAAAUUUAAAAAGGGUUCCAAAAAAGCCAUAGAAAUGACUUAAUGCCUUGAGGAUCCAUUUUUCUAUAGAUACCUAGUGUAACAUUUGGGGGUUUGUCAAAGAGAAGACUGAAAGAUAACUGCCCUGGAAAUACCUAUAGCUACUGUCAGGCUCUCUAACCAGCAGCAACAUGUAUAGCAAAAACCAGUGACUGGAAGCUGAAGCCAGGCAAAUUAAAAUGGGAAAUAAGCCAUAUAUUUUUAAGAGUGGGGUUAAUUAAACACUGGAACAAAUCCUCAAGGGAAGCUGUGGAUUCCUCUCUCUGGGGACUUUCAAAUCAUGGCUGGGUGCCUUUUUAGAAGAGGUACUUUAGCCAAAGAAGCUAUUAGGUUCAAUACAUGGGUAAUUGUGUGAGAUGUAAUGGCCUGUGAUACACAGGAAAUAAGAACAGAUGCUUUAAUGUUUCUUUCUGGCCUUAAACCUAAAAAGCUAUUCAUCUAGAUGGGAGCCCUGUGCCUAUAGCUGAGAAUUUGAUCCAAGUCUCCAACUGCAACAUUUAUAAACUGGUGAAAAAUGAGUGUAUAAAUGCACCAAAUAGAAUAGAUCAAACAAUGAAUGGGGAGCUAAGGAUGAAGAAACACACCAAUAACAUAAUUGAUUUCUGUUUUUUAAUGAAUUAUGCUGGAAUGAAAUGACACCUAUAGAAACCAGGACUGUGAAGUAGUAAUUUACACCGGAGAAAUUCAAACGAAACAGGAAGAUAGGAAACUAUGUUUGGAGACUGCCAGGUUUCUGUGAUAAAAU
ensembl:lncRNA